CUUUUCAGUAAAACGAUGUGGAAACAUCAGCUGUCACAUCUCAGAAAGGACGACGUGACUAUCCCUCUGCCGACUGCAGUAGACGGGUGGGAGGAUGAUGUGAAAAGGUGGCCAAAUAUAACAUACUGUAGCAUUUUUAGCUACUUCCUUAGCGCCGUCGCGUCAGACGGUGAAGCCAUGAAUAAUCUUAAAAGCUCAGAGUCUUAUCAGUAUCUGCACAGUAAUAAAGUCAUCCAUUUUAUUUCUGUCAUCUUGAGAGCUGUGUCUUCCACGUGCAUAUAAAAUCAUACCUGUUGUUGAUGUGAAGCUGCUGUUGAACCUCCUCAGCACUCGGCGUUUCUUCUCCAUAGGUUUGUUAUAACCCAACCACAACGUAGGGCAUGGCUUUUCCUCCGUGGCCUUUUUAUCAAUGAAAUGGAAG